AUGCCUAGGUGGUGUGGUGUGCAAGUCGUAAUGAGAGUAUCUAUCUAUCAAUCUAGUACCCCGUCCCUUUACUACCAAAAAAGAAGAGGGAAGAAAUUCAAUGGACAGACACAGGCCUCCGUCCAGCCAACGGGAAACAGCUACGACGCGUAUGGAAUUGACAGGAUGAUGGAAAGAGGUCUGGGUUUUGUUUUCUAUUUCCUGUCUCCUCUCCUCUCCUCUAUCCCCACUGCUAUCUUCGCUUUCAUAAAUAAAUCCCUAGGGCUGUUUUUUGUGUUGCGUGAUGGCGAGGGGGGGUGGGGUGGGGGGGACAAAUAUCCUGUUGCCGUUCGUGAGAUAUGCAAAAAAUGUGAACGCAUUCUAUUUUGA
rnacentral:rRNA from 1 species